rnacentral:rRNA from 1 species
GAUGAACGCUGGCGGCGUGCCUAACACAUGCAAGUCGAGCGGACGGACGAGAAGCUUGCUUCUCUUAUGUUAGCGGCGGACGGGUGAGUAACACGUGAGUAACCUACCUAUAAGACUGGGAUAACUUCGGGAAACCGCUGCUAAUACCGGAUAAUCUUAUGAACCGCCUGGUUCAAAAGUGAAAGACGGUUUUUCUGUCACUUAUAGAUGCACCCGCGCUGCAUUAGCUAGUUAGUAAGGUAACGGCCUACGAAGGCAACGGUGCAUAGCCGACCUGAGAGGGUGGUCGGGCAGACUGGAACAGAGACACGGUCGAGACUCCUACGGGAAGCAGCAGUAGGGAAUCUUACGCGAUGGGGGAAAGGCGGACAUAGCAACGUCGGGUGAGUGAUGAUGGACUUAGGAUCGGUAGACUAUGUUAGUAUGGAAGUAGAUAAGUGUAAGUAUCUGUGCAGAUCUUGACGGUACCUAAUCAGAAAGCCACGGCUAACUACGUG